rnacentral:lncRNA from 1 species
AAAAUAUUUGAAAGAGAACAUUUGAACCCCCUAAAACAACAGGAUCGCAUCCAGGUUACAGUAUUGAAAUUAGAAUCCACCGCUAAUUACUAUACAACAUCUCUUACCAAAUCAGAUCAUCUUCGAUAAGAAGAAUCACUGCCCAUCUAUUCCAGCUAUGACUUACAUCUGAAUCUUGAUAGCUCAACUCUAGCUAGCACCAGCCUUAUAAUCUUCCUGGACACUUCUCAACCACUGGAUCCUUAAAACCUCUGACUCCUCGUCUAGCCUUAGCCUUACUCGCAAU